GAUGAACGCUGGCGGCGUGCCUAAUACAUGCGAGUCGAGCGAAUAGACGAGGAGCUUGCUCCUCUGACGUUAGCGGCGGACGGGUGAGUAACACGUGGAUAACCUACCUAUAAGACUGGGAUAACUUCGGGAAACCGGAGCUAAUACCGGAUAAUAUAUUGAACCGCAUGGUUCAAUAGUGAAAGACGGUUUUGCUGUCACUUAUAGAUGGAUCCGCGCCGCAUUAGCUAGUUGGUAAGGUAACGGCUUACCAAGGCAACGAUGCGUAGCCGACCUGAGAGGGUGAUCGGCCACACUGGAACUGAGACACGGUCCAGACUCCUACGGGAGGCAGCAGUAGGGAAUCUUCCGCAAUGGGCGAAAGCCUGACGGAGCAACGCCGCGUGAGUGAUGAAGGUCUUCGGAUCGUAAAACUCUGUUAUUAGGGAAGAACAAAUGUGUAAGUAACUAUGCACGUCUUGACGGUACCUAAUCAGAAAGCCACGGCUAACUACGUG
rnacentral:rRNA from 1 species